rnacentral:rRNA from 1 species
UGUCCAGACUCCUACGGGAGGCAGCAGUAGGGAAUUUUGCGCAAUGGGGGAAACCCUGACGCAGCAACACCGCGUGAAUGUUAAGCCCUUCGGGGUGUAAAGUUCUGUCAAUAGGGACGAAUUUUGACUGUACCUAUAAAGGAAGCACCGGCUAACUCCGUGCCAGCAGCCGCGGUAAUACGGAGGGUGCAAGCGUUACUCGGAAUCACUGGGCGUAAAGAGUGCGUAGGCGGGGUAAUAAGUCAGAUGUGAAAUCCUGUAGCUUAACUACAGAACUGCAUUUGAAACUGUUACUCUGGAGUGUGGGAGAGGUAGGUGGAAUUCUUGGUGUAGGGGUAAAAUCCGUAGAGAUCAAGAGGAAUACUCAUUGCGAAGGCGACCUGCUGGAACAUUACUGACGCUGAUGCACGAAAGCGUGGGGAGCAAACAGGAUUAGAUACCCGAGUAG